UCUAAAAUGACAGAGUGCCAUGUAUAGGGUUUAAGCUCCUACCACGAAGAUUUAUUCUUCUUUUAGAA
rnacentral:tRNA from 1 species